GUGCCAGCAGCCGCGGUAAUACGUAGGUGGCAAGCGUUGUCCGGAUUUAUUGGGUUUAAAGGGUGCGUAGGCGGCCAUUUAAGUCAGUGCUGAAAUACUCUAGCUUAACUAGAGGGGUGGCAUUGAUACUGAAUGGCUUGAGUGAAGUCGAGGUAGGCGGAAUUGACGGUGUAGCGGUGAAAUGCUUAGAUAUCGUCAAGAACACCGAUAGUGAAGACAGCUUACUAGACUUCAACUGACGCUGAGGCACGAAAGUGUGGGGAUCAAACAGGAUUAGAAACCCGCGUAGUCC
rnacentral:rRNA from 1 species